UACGAGGGGGGCAAGCGUUGUUCGGAAUUAUUGGGCGUAAAGGGUGCGUAGGCGGAUGUGUCAGUCAGGGGUGAAAUCCCGGGGCUCAACCUCGGAACUGCCUUUGAUACAGCACGUCUCGAGUCCGGAAGAGGUGGGUGGAAUUCCUAGUGUAGAGGUGAAAUUCGUAGAUAUUAGGAAGAACACCAGUGGCGAAGGCGGCUCACUGGCCCGGUACUGACGCUGAGGCGCGAAAGCGUGGGGAGCAAACAGG
rnacentral:rRNA from 1 species